AGAUUGAACAAGUAUGGACGUCCCUU
rnacentral:sRNA from 1 species